UACCCGCAGCACAAGUGGUGGUCAUUAUUAUUGGGCCUAAAGCGUCCGUAGCUGGCUUGUUAGAUGCCUGGGUAAAUCGAUGCGCUCAACGCAUCGAACUCCGGGUAGACCGGCAAGCUUGGGUCCGGGAGAGGCGUGAGCUACUCGAGGGGUAGGGGUAAAAUCCUGUAAUCCUUCGGGGAGGACCAGUGGCGAAGGCGUCACGCUAGAACGGCUCCGACAGUGAGGGACGAAGCCCUGGGGCGCAAACCGG
rnacentral:rRNA from 1 species